AAGUCGUAACAAGGUCUCCGUUGGUGAACCAGCGGAGGGAUCAUUAACGAGUUUUCCAACUCCCAACCCUUUGUGAACAUACCUAUCGUUGCUUCGGCGGACUCGCCCUAGCGUCCGGACGCGGACCUAGGCGGCCGCCGGGGACCCCCAAACCCUGUCUUACAGUGUCGUCCGAGUACUAUAUAAUAGUUAAAACUUUCAACAACGGAUCUCUUGGUUCUG
rnacentral:misc_RNA from 1 species